CCUCCAGACUCCUACGGGAGGCAGCAGUGGGGAAUCUUGCGCAAUGGGCGGAAGCCUGACGCAGCGACGCCGCGUGCGGGACGAAGGCCUUCGGGUCGUAAACCGCUUUCAGCAGGGACGAGGCCCUCACGGUGACGGUACCUGCAGAAGAAGCCCCGGCUAACUACGUGCCAGCAGCCGCGGUAAUACGGAGGAUGCGAGCGUUAUCCGGAUUUAUUGGGUUUAAAGGGUGCGUAGGCGGGCUGUUAAGUCAGCGGUCAAAUGCCGGGGCUCAACCCCGGCCUGCCGUUGAAACUGGCGGCCUCGAGUGGGCGAGAAGUAUGCGGAAUGCGUGGUGUAGCGGUGAAAUGCAUAGAUAUCACGCAGAACUCCGAUUGCGAAGGCAGCAUACCGGCGCCCUACUGACGCUGAGGCACGAAAGCGUGGGGAUCGAACAGGAUUAGAUACCCGUGUAUAG
rnacentral:rRNA from 1 species